UACGUCAUCACGAUUGGGAGAGCAGCGCACCGCAGUUGUAUCGCGUGGAAGCUCGGCAUGAAUUCCCCGGUGUAGAACAGAAGGCUACCGAUUGUUUCUCACGUAGGCAAUAGCUCGUAGAUGUAAAGGUAUUCGGCUUCAACGGAUUGCUUCAAGUAUUUACAUAAUUUAUCAUAUUUUUUUGCAAUAAUGGCGCUUUCCAUUGCAACUGUCUGGGCAAGGUGCGUCACCGUUGUCUUUGUAUUCAACGCGAUGUGGGGAAUUGCUUUGUCCAUUAAUCGCUACUCUAUUCCCGAGGAAAUGCAAGAGGGUUCCGUUGUUGCAAACCUGGCUACAGAUUUGGGACUUGACCUUCGCACUCUGAUAACACGCAAGGCAAAGCUUGACAUCAUCCACAGUAAGAAAUAUCUGGACAUUAACAAAGAAACGGGAGACCUGUUCAUACUUGAAAAGAUAGAUAGGGAAUACAUUUGCUCGAGCAAGACAACGUCUUGUUUUCUGAAAAUGGAUGUCAUAUUUGAAAAUCCCAUUCGUAUUUUUAACAUUGAGCUUGAAAUCAUGGACAUAAAUGACAAUGCACCUGUCUUUCGAAGGGAGACAAUGCACUUGGAUAUUUCAGAAUCUACCGCUGCAGGAGAGAGAUUCUCUUUGACAAAUGCUGUGGAUGCAGAUGUCGGUGCGAAUUCUAUUAAGACUUACUAUUUAAGCGAAAGCAAGUAUUUUACAAUUGACAUACAGAUGGGAAGCGAUGGCUCUAAAUACGUAGAUUUAGUUCUCAACAGUAAUUUAGACCGAGAGGAACAGACGGUUCAUAAUUUAAUACUAACCGCUGUAGAUGGCGGGGUCCCUGCACGCUCAGGCACAGCCAGUAUCAUCGUUAGGGUUCUGGAUAUCAAUGACAACGCCCCCUUUUUUAACCAGCCGAUAUAUGCUAUUAAUGUAACUGAGAACUCCCCAAUUGGAACUCCAGUAAUGACCUUGAACGCAACAGACUUGGACGAGGGCACCAACGCAGAGAUGAUAUAUUCAUACACGUUAUAUACAUCCGAGAAGACACAAGAAAAGUUCUCUCUAAAUUCAAAUACAGGGGAAAUAAAGGUGAAGGAUGUGAUUGAUUUUGAGGAGAGCCACAGUUUCGAUAUAUAUAUUCAAGCCAGAGACCAAGGAUCUAAUUCAUUAUCCGGAGAUUGUAAAAUAAUGGUAUUUAUUACCGAUCUGAAUGACAACUAUCCCGAGGUUACCAUUACAUCUUUUAAAAGCACGGUCAAGGAAGAUGUUGCCAUAGGAACAUUAAUAGCAGUGAUCAGUAUAAGUGACAGGGACUCUGGGGACAACGGUGAAGUUGAGCUCACUUUGAACCAACAACCAUCCCUACCCUUCUUUCUUAAUAAGUCUUCGGAGGAUUACUUUGCUCUGCAUGUUUCAGAACCACUGGACCGUGAGAGAAUUCCAAGAUAUGAAAUCACUUUCAUAGUCACAGACAAAGGAACACCUCGCUUAUCUGACAAUGAGACAAUCACCUUGGAGAUAUUGGAUGUCAACGAUAACUCGCCAAUAUUCCCCCAGUCGUUCUACACAAUCCAUGUUGUGGAGAACAAUGUCCCCGGCGCACUGUUGACGUCACUCAGUGCUUUUGACCCGGACCUCCAUGAGAACCAGUAUCUGGUCUAUUUUAUCAUGGAGAAGGAGAUCAUCAACACAUCUAUGUCCAUGCUUUUCUCCAUUAAUCCAGAGAAUGGCAACCUUUACGCUCUGAAGACCUUUGACUUUGAGAGGGAGAGGGAGUUCCUUUUCCAUAUAGAGGCCAGAGACUCUGGGGUUCCUCCACUGAACAGCAAUGUGACAGUUCACAUCAUCAUUCUGGACCAGAAUGACAACACCCCGCUCAUAGUGUCACCUUGGCGCGCGCAGGGCUCAGUUAUUGAAGAGGUGAUACCGAGGUCCACUGAUAAAGGAUUCCUAGUCGCCAAAGUAAUCGCCAUUGACGCAGACUCAUUACAGAAUUCACGGGUCACAUAUCAGCUUCUACAGAUCAGUGACUCUACCCUCUUCAGUCUAGAUCAGUACAAUGGGGAGAUCCGUACCACCAGAAUGUUCAGCUAUCGGGACCCCCGUCAUCAGAGGCUGGUUAUUGUCGCCAAAGACAAUGGAGACCCAGCUCUUUCCUCUACAGUUACCAUCAAGAUAUCAACAGUAGAACACAUGGUGACACCAUUCUCAGAAACGACUGAGGUGCCUUUGGAAUAUGACUUGUUCACCGACUUAAAUCUGUAUUUGGUCAUUGGUUUGGGCUCAGUGUCCUUUCUGCUAUUGAUCACCAUAUUGGUGGUCAUCGUGCUGAAGUGUCAGAAACCGAAGCCCAUGAAGAUGCCUCCUGCUAUGAAUAUGAAUCUGAACAGUCUGAACAGGAACAGUGUGAUCAGCAGAAACAGUAUCAUCAGCCAGAGGAGCUCCACCAUAGCCGAUUCCACCCUCAUCUCCAGUGAUGCCUACUGGUACAGCCUGUUUCUAGCAGAGACCAGGAAAGGCAAGGUGGUUGUCAGACAGCCUAUAGUACCCAAGGGAGCAGGCUACUUUGUGUCCAGUAUACCCAGAAGCACAGGUCCUACAGAGACCAGCGACUCAAGAGCAUCCACGCUACAGUACUCAAAAUGAAAGGAAGCCCAUUCUACAGCUGGAGGUAUGCUGGUUGCUGGUAACAUGAUGAUUCCAGGGCCAGCAGUGACCUGCCAUGAUGUCCUCAAUCUGGGGUAUUCCGCUGCAGAACGUUCAAAGAAGUUAAGAGUGACCAACACCCCUCCUUCAAUCACUGGGAUCCAACAUUUACCUCUGGGGGCAGCUCGUCGAACCCUCUGCCCAAACAUACCACACCAACCACCUCAGCAACUGUAUACUACCUUUAUCAUCUUCCAUCAAGCAUGAAUCUGCAUGGCUACAUCAAUAGGUACUUAUAUUUAGAAAAUAUCAUAAAGAAGAAAGGAACUUCAAACAUAAGGUCUUUCAGACGACAUUGGACUGAUGUCAUUAUGCAUAACACCCUCCCUGGGACUUUUGACUGUAAAUGUGGGACCAGGCACUCAAUAUCUUCCAAAAUCCUACCUUACUUCUCCAAGAAACACAUGACACAAAAGGGAUAUUCUGUUGUGUACUUGUGAGGGUUCCUCAUCAUUGUGAUGUCAUAAUGCGUUAUUGGGGUAUGUGUGAGAGGUCACAAUAAAACUAAAACUAAAAAAAACAAUAGAGUACAAGAGAACCAUUUUGCCAAUGCCAUAACUCAGUUAGCUAGUGAAAUAACUAUAUUUGUUCAUCUGUGAAUGUGUAGUGUGCAACUUUAGUAAAUAUUGUUUAGAAAUAAGAUUAACAUUUUUCAUCAUUUGGCUUUCUAGACCUUACGAAUUUUCUUGAAUGUGUUGAAUUAUGUUUUUGACUCUGAACAUCAGCCUAUGGUAUGGGAUUAUGAAUCUCCUGAGACAUGGUAUUAUGGGAGGUGCAUGUUGAGUUGGUAACAAGAUAGAUCAAUACCUCAUACCCAUCAUUCAAUGAGUCAGGUAGGAGAGAAGUACCCCAUCUUACUCCACUUCACUUAAUAUAUUCUCACGGUUCAAAUCUUCAUGAGCACAUUUGACACUGGUGCUAUAUUUAGUAUAUUUUGAUGAUAAACAUUUCCUGCUCAGCAUGUCUAUAUAAAGCACAGACUAGAAUCCAUUUUUAGUGUGAGAAUCAUGUCCAAGGAAAAACUCAGGACAGCAAGAAAAACACAUAUUUAGCUCCUACCUGCCUAAGCAGGGCAAUAUAAGGGUCAACGUAGCCAACACUGUAUGUAGAAUAUCUGAGGCACUAAAGGGGUUCACUUUACAACAACUUAUCAUACCUCUAUCUGAGCUUUCUCAACUAAACUGCACAGGCCUCUGCCAGGUUCCGAUUACUGUAACACUUACUCCAUCCCACACUCCCAGUGUCCCUGUCACUGUGAACAAGCCUCAGAGAAUCAGCUAAAGGAGAAUUCAGUGUUAAACAGGAGGCUUAGAGGAAGAAACCAUGUGUACUUUAAAUAAGAAAUGUUACUAUAUUCACUAAAAAAAUAAGACUGUUUAAAAAAAGUAUUUAUUGUUGUAUAUUUGAAAUGUAUUUAUGUUGGCAUGGUGCAAUACACUACUCUGGCCAUGUUUUUAAAGUUUACAAUGUUUUAUGAAUUGUCAUGUUUUUAUUGGAUAUUUUGACCUAACAAUUCUUAACACUGCUUUUUAUGUGACUUAUUCAAGUGCAUUGUGUAGCCUACUGUAUGACAUUUGUAUUGCAAUACAUCAUUCAAAUGUUUUAUCUGAUACAGUGUACAGACAGACAAUCUAAAUUAUUUCAUGAAAUAUGAAUGUAGCGCUCCGCUGCUUAAGAAUUUAGCCAAAAUGUUAUUUUAAAUUUAUAGACAUACAGAGUAGCUCUUCUGCAGAGAUUUAAUGCAAGGCAUUAGGUCUUAGAAAUGAGAAACUAGAACAGACAGCAGUAUAUACAUGUCACAAUGGAGGGAAAAGGCCAAAAGAAGGAGAGAGAGAGAGAUAAGGAGAAAGAAACUGUAGACGAGAGUGAGACAGAAAGAUUAUGCUACUAUGCUAUUCCUUUGACGUCAGUGCAUGCAUGACCUUAUAGGCCCUGCACUCACAAUCCAUCCAGUCUUCAUUUGAAAUGAAAUACUGAACUUAAAUACUACUGUAUAUAUCUCAAUCAUAUAGGUUUCAUGGGAACACAAUAAGCUAUUCUUAUUCACAGUGAUUUCCACUGAAUCCAGACCUGGUUACACCACUCAUCUACCACAGACUGCAGUGCAGUCAUAGUUUGAAGUUCUAAUCAACUCUCCAAUUCUGUCUUUAUCUCUCUCUUCCCAUUUAAAGCCCUGUGUGAAUCAUGACCUCACCUCCCCUCACAAUGUGAGGUCAUGUCACUGUGUGGGUCUGAGGGCUGAUGGUGUUGGACACAGAUGUCUGGCUACUACACUAAUGAUUUGGGCUCUGCCUGCUCUGCCUGUGGGGAGGAUAUGCUGCCUGAGCCUUGUAUGAAGACAAGUUUAUUCCAAAUGUAGGUUACAGAAAACAUUAGACUAAAUUCAGCUCAUGAGCUCUUUAUGGGUCUCCUGCGUUAUACCAGUACAUGUGACUUGAGGAGAAUGAGAUAAUGGUGCUUAAUCCAGAUUCAAGUCAAGGCAUAAAAUACCAUCUGGAUUCAUUUAGAUCCCAGGCAUUUUGAGAAAAUCUCCUAAGCAGCCAGUGGCUGGGUGGCUGGGUGGCUGGGUGGCUGGGUGAUGUGACCUGAGAUUUUAAGCUCUACUUUGACAGAACAGAUGUUCAGUGGAAACCAAUGGAGGGGUUUAAAACCUGUAUCGGCGUAUCUACUUUGUACUUUUUUAAAAAUACAAUAUACUUUUUAUAUCUGAUGUAAUCUCUGCACUUGGCUUGAUGGUACAGGAGGGUGUAUGUGCUGCUUGCUUUAGUAUCAUGCAGAUGUGUCUGUCUCUGUUGUGUAGCUACACUGCUUAUUCCUGCAUUAUGAUUCUAUGGUCUGACUGGGGGGUGUUGAGAGUUAAAAAGUGAGUGCGAGAGAAUGGCCUUGCUUACAUUUUUUAUUCAAAAACAGUUUGGAUGUUGUUUCUGUUGCUUAAAUGUCCUGCUUGUAGAUGCAGAUGUCAAUAAAGCUUUAAGAUCUGUG